UACUUGCAAUGAUGACGUCGGGUAGGAUAAUUAAUUACACAGUGUAUAUGGUUAUCACGGUCGAUGACGUCACAAAAAGUGACGUCACGUCGAAACUUUAAAGUGAUUUUUCGUUGCAGUGAAGAUACCACUGAAGAAACUACAGACUCACAGAUAUGUAUUGCUACAAUCUCUUCCCAAUAUAUUCACAAAUUUAUUUUGAAGUAUACCAGUAUGCCAUAUUACUCAUAUUAGUGUUGCUGUAAACAUGGUAAAAAAUCAAGUAAAAAAUACUAUAAAGACAAUCAAUCUAAAUAAUAAUUGGGGGGAAAACAUAUCCGUUAUUGUAUGAAGUCUUCUUCUAAAUUUUCUCUGUUUUAUCCCAUUUAAAUUAUACACUUCUAUUUAAUGAGUUAUAAAUGUAUUAAA